rnacentral:rRNA from 1 species
CUCGCCCCAUUUCCCUCUGAAACCUCCCACGCCGCAUCUUCUCUUCUCGCUUCCACGCUGCCAUGCGCCAACCCCGCCGUCACCCGUCGAUCCGGCUGCGGCGCUGCGCACCUCCACCCUUGUUGCCCUCCCUGGUCCAGCAACGUCACCUGCUCCCUUCAACUCCCGUCUCGAUCUUCAUGUCCCUCAGAUCUAGCAGCCCUCGGCCACGACGCUGCCAGAUCUGGUCGGCUUGGCCUCGUCGCCCCAACCAAUAGGUGCUCGACGGCGCUCCUCAGGAUUCAGGAACGCAGCGGUCUUCUACUCUUCUUCGUCAGCUCUAUAUCCCUCCACCUCCUACGCCAUGUAUCAGCCAUCUGCCCUUUCUUGAAGCUCCUCCUCAUCCAAGUGGCCACCUGAUGUUGCCGAGCGAACCAUGCUCACUCGCGCCUUCGCCCACCAGUACCAGGAUUUUCUCGUGUCUUUCAAGUUGAAUACCGGGGAGAUGGAGGAGAUGGUGCCAUGGCGGGCUACUAUGGUGGUGGCAGUUGGGCCUAUCUGAAGAGCAAUAAUGUAAUGCUUUUGAGCUUAGGCACAUGAAGUUGUAUUUAAAAGCGGACGAGAUGAUGUUUGUCAACACGAAACUGAAAAGGGAUGUGAAACAAUACUGGAGGAAUCGUGAUCUAUGGCAAGGGUCAUGAUAUCUAUGGCGAUGAUUGUCAUGAUCUAUAUGGCGAUGAGCGGUAUGGUCCAUAUGGUGAUGAAGAGUGAUGAGUCUAAUGAUCUUUCUUCAGGACAUGCAACAAAGUGAACUUCUGAAGUUUUGGUCAAUUUUAGCUUAGGCAUAAUGCUUGGACCAUUAUAUAUUAGUUACUAUUUUGUUUUGCAUUUCAAACUUCCUAGAUAGAUCAUGAUGGACAAUGUAAUUUGGAUGCACGUCAUUUGGGUUAUGGUAUUUUGAAAGUUGCGCUAAAUAUAAUAUAUGUUACUUG